rnacentral:misc_RNA from 1 species
UUGUUUGAUUGCAAUGUUAAACUAACUGUAUGUGUGUACAAGUGUUUUCAUAUUUUAAUAAUAAGAUUGUCAAAGUCUAAAAAAAAUUGAGUUCUCUAGUUUUCCUUUAUCAGAAAAAUGUUUUUCGUUAGACCCAUUUUCCUAAAUGCAUCAAACACAAAAUAUUUUCGGCCAAACCAACCAGCCUAAUUUCCAAGAAUUUCACAAUGUCCAACGAAUACUGUAGCGAAAGAACAGAUAAAUGCUUGUAUUGAAG